rnacentral:rRNA from 1 species
UACGUAGGGGGCAAGCGUUGGUCCGGAUUUAUUGGGCGUAAAGAGCGUGUAGGCGGCCAGGUAGGUCUGCUGUGAAAACUCGAGGCUUAACCUCGAGCUGUCGGCGGAAACCAUCUGGCUAGAGUCCGGAAGAGGAGAAUGGAAUUCCCGGUGUAGCGGUGAAAUGCGCAGAUAUCGGGAAGAACACCCGUGGCGAAGGCGGUUCUCUGGGACGGUACUGACGCUGAGACGCGAAAGCGUGGGGAGCGAACAGG